CAUCUUUAAACUUUAAAAACAUGUUGUUUGUCGUGACUCUUCAUUGCAAUACUGUCUCGGUUACAGUAAUUUGUGUAAUGUUGGACAUACGACAAGACACAGCAAUAUUGCCUCAGACUCAUUUUUAUCAGCAGAUUAAUGUGCAUUGAGUUUCUGUCUGUAUGUUCUCAACCAAACAAUCAUUCAAGACCUUUUAAAGCACAAACAUUUCCCGGGCAAGUUUGAAUUUCUCUCAGUGAGUACUGACGGACAGCUCUUCACUCAUAAAACCUUUUAAAGCACAAGCAUUUCCCGCGCAAGUUUGAAUUUCUCUCAGUAAGGACUGACGGAUGGCCAUUCACUUAUAAAACUUUUUAAAGGUUAGCAGGAAUGCGUCCAGCAUAAUUUUGGAUCUUUACCAUUGAGGAGACUGGCUGACUGUUCUCGACCAACCAUCAUUCACACACAAAAACAUUAGAGGUAAGUACGAAGCGUCUUUACCAUUGAGGAGGCUGACUGACUUUCAUCUACCAACCGUCAUUAACACAACAAAAACUAAAGAAAUGUUACUACAAGUGGACCUAUUUAUUUACUCAUCAUGCUGUAAGUACACCACAGUUUUGUCAGUGAAAAUAUAAUAUUUUAGUUUUCUCACUGCUUGGCGUAGACAAAUGUGACCAUGUGUAAUUUGGAAAAUACAUGGAAAAAGUGUAUGUCUUAAUGUUUAAAUGUUGUUUGAAUUAAGGGACAGUACACUGAUUUUGUUU